CUGCACGGCCGCUUCCCGCCCUUUUUGCUCAGCCGUUGCUCCCUCGCCUCGUGCCGCCCCCGGCCCGCUUCGCCUGACGGGACCCCGCUCUGCUGCCUGCCGCUGGGCACGGGGCCUGGCACAGAAGCGGAAAAAAAGACCAAACAAGCGCGACAUCACCUUGGAAAUUUUUUCAGAUGGUGUUGCAGCAAAUCCUGAAAAGACUUGCAAGUAAUUGCAUGGCUCUUUUCAAGAUAAGAAGGGACAGGAAAGGGACGAUGGACUCCGUAUGCAUCUGAGGUGCACUUCAGGAAAGACAACUCCAGCUGAAAUUCACUGAACAGAAGAGUAGGGGACUGAUGCAAGAGGAAGGGGCAGUGACUUUCAUAAAAUCAACCAGCAGCUCAGUGACACAGGCACCAUUGUUUCUUCCUUCCUAUGUAUUGAGAACCAGACUGGAAGUAAUCCAAGCAGCUCCUUUUUAGCCUGAAGUAGUGAAAGAGUUGCAGUUUGGAGGUUUUCUGGGGUCAGCUAAGCAUAGCCCUGGUUCCCCCCUCUGAUGCUGGCAAUACAUUUGCUUCAAGUAGAAGGCCGUGCUGGAAAUCUCCAGGCUGUCCUCGGUGCCAACUGUGCUACGAUACCAUGAUUUGUAGGAAUUAUGCUUUUCUGCACUCUUUUCUUUAAAUUAAAUAUUUUCCUGUAUUGAUGCCAAUCUUCUGAAAGAAAUUUUCAGUCAACCUUUGUGUGUUCAUCAGAUAUUCUUUUUGUU